AUCGAACGCUGGCGGCAGGCCUAACACAUGCAAGUCGAGCGCGAAAGUUCUUCGGAAUGAGUAAAGCGGCGGACGGGUGAGUAAUACAUGGGAAUCUGCCUGGUAGUGGGGGACAACGUUUCGAAAGGAACGCUAAUACCGCAUACGCCCUACGGGGAAAGGGGGGAUCUUCGGACCUCUCGCUAUCAGAUGAGCCCAUG
rnacentral:rRNA from 1 species